UGUUUGGAUUUCACUAUACUUUUUUAGACUGAUUUUAUUGAUAUUUUGUAUGUAAAUAUAUAAGAUAUAUUCUUGUACAUGGAGUGAGUCUGUUAACGUAAUUCAGACUUUCACUGUAAUACGGGGCGUGACAACUACGUGCUGGAAUAAACACUAAACGAAGUGUUAGUUUAAUCAUUAAUGUGGGUUUAGGUGGUAGACUUGUUGAG
rnacentral:lncRNA from 1 species